GCUAACUCCGUGCCAGCAGCCGCGGUAAUACGGAGGAUGCAAGCGUUAUCCGGAAUCAUUGGGUUUAAAGGGUCCGUAGGCGGGCAAUUAAGUCAGAGGUGAAAUUCUGCGGCUCAACCGUAGAACUGCCUUUGAAACUGGUUGUCUUGAAUCGUUGUGAAGUGGUUAGAAUGAGCAGUGUAGCGGUGAAAUGCUUAGAGAUUGCUCAGAAUACCGAUUGCGAAGGCAGAUCACUAACAACGUAUUGACGCUGAGGGACGAAAGCGUGGGGAGCGAACAGGAUUAGAUACCCUGGUAGUCCACGCCGUAAACGAUGGAUACUAGCUGUCCGGUCUUCGGACUGGGUGGCCAAGCGAAAGUGAUAAGUAUCCCACCUGGGGAGUACGUUCGCAAGAAUGAAACUCAAAUGAAUUGACGG
rnacentral:rRNA from 1 species